GCCUGAAGCUCGGUCUGGAUCUUCUCCGACUGGUGGCUCUGGUUUUUCCCUUUUCCUCUGUCUUGACAGGUUCCUCCAAAACUUGUGCCGCCAGUCCUGAGUCAGAUCUCUUACCCGAGAGAUAGGAAAACUGGAUCUGAGACAGCCACUAACUAGCUGCGGCCUCUUGUCCAUAAAGGAAGAGGGCAACAGGGCAUUCACAAGUACCUAACUCCGCUCCCUUGGGAACCCAGAGCAGUCAAGAAGGACGGAAGGUGGCCGCUGGAGGUCGCCGUGGCCUCGCGAUACCACCAACAGAAAUGGAGAACUGUUGAUGCAGAUUGCCAACAAAAAUCCUCAACUCUGGAGUGGGCUUUGAAUGCAUAACACCAGGCCACCGGGCUAAAAUAUCUCCAAACGUCUUUGUUUACAGAGCAUUGCAAACCCCCUCCCCUCCAGUAUUGGGGAUCAAAACCAGGAAACCAUCGGAGCUCUCAAGACAGGUCUUGUGGUCCUCCUGCCUCAGCCUCCGGAGUAGCUGGGAUAACAGACGUGGCAACGGUUGCUCCCACCUAGAGCAUUGGAACUUUUAUUACAAGAAGAAGACAGUUAUCCAGUAAGGGGAGUGAUAUGCUUAAGGUCACAAAACCCUCUCUCUCCUGACAGCACUGAGGAGUUUCCGGUCCCGGUAUAGAUCAGUGAGGAAGAGACUAUUGACAAGAGUGGAUUUACCCAGGCCAGACUCUCCUGACAGGAGAGAGGACAGAGGCACCAAAUCAGAAGAUCUUUCCCCAGCCUUAAAGGAGCAGUGCCAGACUCUUUUGAGUUCUCAUCAGAAGCCACCAGCUGGGCCUCCUGCCCUUGCUGAUACUACGUUUCCAGUGCUCUUGGGGGCAGACAAGAGUGGAGUUGGGACUGACACAGGACAGAAAGAGAUCCCAGGGUUCAGUGCCCAGAGUUCAAUCCUGCUGACCCUACUCUUACUCCAGAUGCAAAACCACACCAGAAUCUGGCCCUGGACCCCAGGAGAGAAGAAAAAACCUACCAGUGGAUGCUGAGUAUGGACAGAGGGCAGCCAGGAGGGACCAAAUGAGAGGUUGGGAGGACACUGGAAGAGCCUGGAAAGAGGCUGGACCUCCAAGACUGCUGACGGCCCCCAAAUGAGAGGAACAUCUAGGGAAACCCCUCAGUAGUCACAGUGUGGUGGUAGGCAGAGAAUGGAGUGGCUCCUCUAUAGAAGCCAGUUCCACUCCACCCCCAGCUUGGGAGAUGGGCAGCUCCCCCUCAGCUCUAGACCCUAUAUCUUCCCCUCUCUCCUUUGGGGGUCAACAUCCUUUGUGGAGUGCCUGGCAGUGCUGGGCUCAGCUCUGCCUCACAACACCCACGUGCCACCCCCAGACAAUGAACAACGGCCGGCUGCAGAAGCUGACUCACCCUCUGGGGGUUGGCCAAGCCAAGGGGGCUACCCUGGACCACUGUGGAGUCUCAGGCAAAGUGAAGGAGAUAAGAUGGUCAGAGUCUUCCUGCAUAGCUCCAUUUUACAAAGGGAUGAAAUGAAAGAGGCAGAUGUGCACACUGUCAGUUUAUGCCAGAGGGAAAGGACUAGGAAAGGGAAGCUAGAAGGAAAAGUCUCCUAAGAGUUACUUUCAGGCGUCACCUCUCAUCCCCAUACCUGCUUAUAACAAACUUCGGAGCUUGCCUGGACAGAAGGGAGGGAAGAGACCCUUUAGCCUGAAACUAGAACUGGCAUGUGGAGGUUUAGUGAUCACAAGAGGCAAUCCUAAGGCAGGCCUGAUAUUUGUGAGAUCUGUUGGGUUAACUAUACAACCCCUUUUAUGCUUA